rnacentral:snoRNA from 1 species
ACCCUCCAGCCCACCUUCCCAUCAGAUCUACACAUGGGUCUGAGUGGAGAUAAAGUAGAUAGCAUAAAGCUGAAGCAGACAUAGAUUCUUCUGUGAUGUACAAUUUGGUUUCAAACAAGC